rnacentral:lncRNA from 1 species
GUAAGAAAUAACAACAAGACCAGUGCGAACAUUUUAAUUUUUAUUUUCAUAGUAGGACAUUAUAGUUUCAGUGCAGACAAACUUUAACGAAUGAAUCUUUGUGAUCUGACAUUUUUAUUUGUUUUCAAACUGAUAUGGACUUAUCAAUCAGUAGCCGUGAAAAGACAUUAAUUUUCUGUAAUGGAGUUAAUUUGUUUUUAAUUUGUUUUUAUCUAAGGCCGGAGAAGUGUUAUAAAGUUCACCUCACUUUAUUACCGUAUCAUCUGUUACAGUAAUUAUAAUUGACAGAUCAGCAACUCUCACAUGUCUGCACAUUCUUAAAUAAACAUGUAAUUAAAUAGAUCAAUUGAAGUUCUUAUACACAUGUUAUCAUUCUGUAGUCUGACCAUCAAACGAUGUACUUGUUAAUAAAUUAGUUAUAGAAACU